GGAACACAGGAGUGAAAGUGGGGUUCAGCACCGAGUCCCUAGACAGUGACCAGACACUGAGGAAAAUCGACAGAUACCCAGCCAUGUCCUUCUGUUUACAAGCUUUGUGUUCACUAAUCACGACGUGCUAAAACUUCAAAACAGUGCUGCGUGCAUAAUGUUCUUCACCAACAAGUGUCACCGUGCACGGCUCCGCGCUGAGGUUUCGGCUGCCUGCCCCCUCGUGCCUGCCUUCCUGCCUUGAUCUUGGCUCACAGACGGUCCCGGCGCCGAGAGGAGCCAUCAAGAGGGUAAGGCUCCUCUUGCCGUUUCGUAAUCACGUAAGCGUAGCAGGCACACUUACCGAGGAUGGACCUU